UUCUUCUCUAUACUUCGCUUCAGCUCUUCCACACGUGCGAAUCGGGAAAGGUCUGCCAUUUCUGGUCGACGUGAAAACAACAUAUUUUGUCAGAGCCAUAUUUUUACAGUAAAGCUUUGAUACAAGCUAGGUUAGCUUGGAGAGUAGGGCUCCCCGUUCAAGGGACUCAAAAUUGUUCCGAUCCACCGGAUGCCGAUUUGGCUGAAACCCCGUUUUCUGUCCAUACUUCUACAAGUUCGUGGCCGGGCGUACCUAUUUGUUCACGGAUCGCGCUCCCACAUCUCUCCGUUUUUGUUCUCUCCGCUUCAGGUCUGCAUUGCAAUUCUUCAGCAAAUACCAACCAACUACCAAUCCAUCCAGUCAGGAAAACUGAACUGAUCUCUGGCAUUGUAAGCCUUACAGCAUCUGUAUCCACUCCUACACUCCCAAAAUCUCACCAAAUCCAACCAUGCUUUCCAACAUGAGGAACGUUUGUGCCUUAUCGGCUCUGGUGUUGUCCAUCUGCAUCACCUUCUCCUAUGGAGGUUCAAUCUCUAAACGUGACGUAGGAGAUGACAUUCAAGAUCAACUUCCACAAGGGAAUGUUUGUGUGACAGAUGACGGAUGCUCCGUUUUCGAGUAUUGUGACCAUGAAGGGUUAAACUUCCAUUGCGAAAUCCGUGGAUGGAUUAUUGCCGUGAUCGUUAUCGUCAUAUUGGCAAUCUUACUGUCAAUAAUUGUGUCGUGUUGUUGUUGCACCACUUGUUGGUGCUAUCAGAAGAUCAGAGGAUAAGGUGGAUCCGGCACGCACCAUUUCAAGCUAUUAGCUGUAUUUAUCAUUGUACCUUAUUCAAAGAAUUUGAUGCUGAAACAUCUCUAAGCACCUAAAUAACAAAAUGAAGAGAAUAUGAUUAUAAUUAAGCUUUGAAUAGAA